AACGAACGCUGGCGGCAGGCCUAACACAUGCAAGUCGAACGCACCGCAAGGUGAGUGGCGCACGGGUGAGUAACACGUGGGAAUGUACCCUUUGGUUCGGAAUAACGUUUGGAAACGAACGCUAAUACCGGAUGAGCCCUGUGGGGAAGAUUUAUCGCCAAAGGAGCAGCCCGCGUCUGAUUAGCUAGUUGGUGGGGUAAAGGCCUACCAAGGCGACGAUCAGUAGCUGGUCUGAGAGGAUGAUCAGCCACACUGGGACUGAGACACGGCCCAGACUCCUACGGGAGGCAGCAGUGGGGAAUAUUGGACAAUGGGCGGAAGCCUGAUCCAGCCAUGCCGCGUGAGUGAUGAAGGCCUUCGGGUUGUAAAGCUCUUUCGCACGCGACGAUGAUGACGGUAGGCGUGAGAAGAAG
rnacentral:rRNA from 1 species